GGCUUUAGGACUUCAUCCCUGCAGGCUAAAGUGUCAGUUACUGUCAGUUAUCAGUUAUCAGAGAGAAGAUGCCUUUUUAGAGAUGCUUUGUUUCUUCACUGAAGUGGCUGUCGUCCAUUACUGUAGCUCUGAAGUUUUGAAUUCCUGCUGCCUUUUGGUGCAAGGAUAAGACUAUAAUGAGGAAAGACAAGACAAUUCCUUCCUGGAUACCAUAUCAUACUGAAUGAUCUUCUGAAAGGAGAGGGGCGGGUGCUAACUUCCUACAUAUGUUUGGAAACCAAUGAACAGAAGGAGCACCUAAGUCAUUGCUAUCUGGAAGAUGGUUGUCAUCUUAGCCUUUUUUUGUGGCACCAAGAUUAAGGAACAUCAGGUGCACUGCAAGUCAAGAUCUCUAUGAAAAUUAGAAGACUGC